rnacentral:piRNA from 1 species
UGGGUGCAGAGUCACAGUAGCUUGGU